ACCAAAUCUAGAAACUUAGCUUCCAGACGAUCCCAAGCCUCAGCAGUAAAGUAUUUGCGGUUGAAUUCAACGUCAAAGUCCGCAAAACUUGUGAGACUUCCUUUGGUGCGCUUGUCCACUGAAAGCCACCAAUUAUGCGCGUCCCCUUCCAGGAAGUGAACCGCAAUGUCUUGCCUGUAAUCCUCUGGACAGCGAGUUGAUUGAAAGUUUUGGACCAGCCUACUCCUCCACUCAUCUGCCACAACGGGGUCGGUGGAUCGAUCUCGAUC
rnacentral:lncRNA from 1 species